ACUAACUCUAGCCUAUCCUUCACAAAAUACAAAUAUUAUAUAAUAAUAAAAUAAAACAUUUACAAUAUAAAAGUAUAGGAGAUAGAAAUUUAUAUAAGCGCUAUAGAAAUAGUACCGUAAGGGAAAGAUGAAAGAAUAAUUAAAGUAUAAAACAGCAUAGAUUAAAUCUAGUACCUUUUGCAUAAUGAAUUAACUAGACAAAAUUUGACAAAAAGACCUUAAGUCAAAAACCCCGAAACCAAACGAGCUACUUUUAAACAGCUAAAAACAUUGAGCAAACUCAUCUAUGUAGCAAAAUAGUGAGAAGAUUUAAAAGUAGAGGUGAAAAGCCAACCGAGCUUGGAGAUAGCUGGUUAUCCAAAUAAGAACUUCAGUUCAACUUUAAGAUAUUUCCCUAAAAACCAUAAAAUUUAAAUGAAAUCUUAAAUGUUAGAUUAAGAAGGGACAGCUUCUUAAAUAAGGAUACAUCCUUAAACAGAGGGUAAAAAAUACACCUACCAUAGUAGGCCUAAAAGCAGCCAUCAAUUAAGAAAGCGUUCAAGCUCAACAAAUUAACUAUCAAUAUCCCUAAAACAUAUAAUAAACCCCUGUAAAAACAAUUGGAUUAAUCUAUAAAAAUAUAGAAGAAACAAUGUUAAUAUCAGUAAUUAGAACUACUUCUCCUUGCACAAGUAUAAGUUAAAUAUCUAACCAGUUAACAACUUUAUAAAAAACAUAACUAAUAAGUUAAAUAUUAAAAACUUUGUCAACCCAACUCAGGAGUGCAAUAAAGGAAAGACUAAAAUAAGUAAAAGGAACUCGGCAAAUACAAACCCCGCCUGUUUACCAAAAACAUCACCUCUAGCAUUACAAGUAUUAGAGGCACUGCCUGCCCAGUGACAAUUAAAUGUUAAACGGCCGCGGUAUCCUGACCGUGCAAAGGUAGCAUAAUCACUUGUUCUUUAAAUAAGGACUAGUAUGAAAGGCUAAACGAGGGUUUAACUGUCUCUUUCUUAUAGUCAAUGAAAUUGACCUCUCCGUGAAGAGGCGGAGAUUAAAAAAUAAGACGAGAAGACCCUAUGGAGCUUAAAUUAAAUAAUUCAUUUCCUAUUACAAAAAAUCAAUAAGAUAUAAAAAAUGGAAUUAUGAAUUAACUAUUUUGGUUGGGGUGACCUCGGAGCAUAAUUAAACCUCCGAAUGAUAUUAACUUAGACACACAAGUCAAAGAUAUUAUCAUAAAUUGACCCAGAGAACAUCUGAUCAACGAACCAAGUUACCCUAGGGAUAACAGCGCAAUCCUAUUAUAGAGUUCAUAUCGACAAUAGGGUUUACGACCUCGAUGUUGGAUCAGGACAUCCAAAUGGUGCAACCGCUAUUAAAGGUUCGUUUGUUCAACGAUUAAAGUCCUACGUGAUCUGAGUUCAGACCGGAGUAAUCCAGGUCGGUUUCUAUCUAUUAAAUAUUUCUCCCAGUACGAAAGGACAAGAGAAAUGAGGCCUAUAGGCCAUCUAUGCCUUAGUGGUAAAGGAAUGAUAUUAUAUUAAUUCCUUAACCACUAAUAAACUAUAACCCGAGAUAAGGGUUU
rnacentral:rRNA from 1 species